UUGAAGUUAUUUUUAGGUAACAUGUUACUAUUUAUUUUAUUAAAAAUUGCAAUAGAUAAACGGUAUAUAUUUCAUAUAUUAUUUGAAUUCAAAAAUAUAUUCUGUCCAUUUUUUUAUUUUUUUUGUUUUAUUUUAUCCGUUCUAUGUAGCAAAAGUAUAGAGAUACAUGCAUUACAUUUUUUCAUAUUAGUAAAUGAGCAUUAGUAAACAGCCUUGUAAUGGA
rnacentral:lncRNA from 1 species